CUCUUCGUCCUGAGUGAAGUGUAUGCAGAAGGCAUGGCUUCUCAGCUGCUCCUCUAAGCAAAGGGUCUUUCCACCCAUGGGUCUUUCCACCCAUGUGGAGAUUGAUUCUAGAGUUCGGUAUCACAUUUGACUGCAUAUUUGUUAAGAAUGCAGGCAGGGAAGAUAGAUUCUGUUAAAUGAACCCCCUUCAAGACUCCAGUGAAGUUCAGGAUCUGGCAGAGGGGAUGGAUUUAUAUAGAAGUGAGGCAACUGAGGCAAAGAGGUAUUAAGCCCAAGGUCACUCUGCCCAUGAAUGACAAAGCCAGUUGUGAACAGCCUACAACCAGAGCCUAGGCUCUUGAAUAUCAGGUUUUGCUGCCUUUGAUGAGUAGACCUUUAUAUGAAGGCGAGUUCUUCCCCAUUGCCAAGGCACAUUCCCUGUAUGGAUAGAAAAAUAACAAAGCACUGAAGUGUCUGCUGGGAUGGAAAAGUAACUAUUAAAAAACCAAGGCUGUGACAAAAUGCUGAAUUAGAGUACAUUCAAAUCAUAACUGCUUAAUAGGCUCAACCAGUAUGAGCACUGUUCCUAACUGGUAAACCUAGAAGCGCAUUCUCCACCUGGAGGAUCUAGUGAGGAUUAAUCAUAAAAGUUUGAGUGAAAGUGCCUGAUGUCUUGUAGAGACCCAAUAAAUGUUUGAUUUCUUGAAUAAUACAA